UGGGGAAUAUUGGGCAAUGGAGGGAACUCUGACCCAGCAACGCCGCGUGAAGGAUGAAGGUUUUCGGAUUGUAAACUUCUGUCGCGAGGGAUGAAGAAUGACGGUACCUCGUAAGAAAGCCCCGGCAAACUACGUGCCAGCAGCCGCGGUAAUACGUAGGGGGCGAGCGUUGUCCGGAAUGACUGGGCGUAAAGGGAGUGUAGGCGGCCUUUUAAGUUAAGUGUGAAAGCCCACGGCUCAACCGUGGAACUGCACUUAAAACUGGGAGGCUUAGAGUGCAGGAGAGGUAAGCGGAAUUCCCAGUGUAGCGGUGGAAUGCGUAGAUAUUGGGAAGAACACCGGAGGCGAAGGCGGCUUACUGGACUGUAACUGACGCUGAGGCUCGAAAGCGUGGGGAGCAAACAGG
rnacentral:rRNA from 1 species